GAUGAACGCUAGCGGGAGGCUUAAUACAUGCAAGUCGCACGGCAGCAUGACACUUCGGUGUUGAUGGCGAGUGGCGCACGGGUGAGUAACGCGUACACAACCUACUUAUAACAGGGGGAUAGCCACUGGAAACGGUGAAUAAUACCCCAUAGUAUUACCUUUUUGAUAAAUAGGUAAUUAAAGUUCCGGCGGUUAUAGAUGGGUGUGCGUCCGAUUAGCUAGUUGGUAAGGUAACGGCUUACCAAGGCGACGAUUGGUAGGGGGCGUGAGAGCGUGACCCCCCACACGGGUACUGAGACACGGACCCG
rnacentral:rRNA from 1 species